AUGGAUUGGAACCCUCAAAUACUUUGCUGGAACGUGAGAGGGCUCAACAACCCCGCCAAGAGACAUGCAGUUAGGGAGUUUGUAGUCGCAGCAAAGGUCAACCUUGUAUGUCUUCAAGAAACUAAGCUUGAAGCUUUCGAUCCCUAUUUGGUUAUGCAAUGCAUCGGACCAUCUUUUGAUGGUUUUGCCUACUUGCCUGCUUCAGACACUAGGGGUGGCAUCCUUCUGGGUUGGGACAACACGCUUUUGGUAAUCAACAACAUCUCACGGGAUACUAACUUCCUCUCGGGCUUGGUGCGUAACAAGGACGGCUUCGAGUGGUGGUUAUCGGUUGUGUACGGGCCCCAAGGUGAU
rnacentral:rRNA from 1 species